GGUGGUAUAGCUCAGUGGUACAGUGCAUGCCUAUCACGCACGAGGUCAUGGGUUCAAUUCCUAGUACCGUCA
rnacentral:tRNA from 1 species